GAGUUGUAGAUAACACUAGAAAUAUGGGCACACUGUCAACACUUCACAUAGUAACUUUGAGUAAUUUAAGUAACAUCAAAUUUAAGUACCUUUAAAUUUAGGCUGUCAGAAAAAAAAAUAAAAUAAAAACGAAAAUAUGCCCGCAGCGAAGAGUCAACUCUGUUGCCGUACAAUUAGCUGGGGACCUUAAUUGCAGCUGCACUUUAAAUGCAGUCGAGGUCUUUGCCGUUAUUACCUGCCAGCCGUUAGCCAUUUGUUGCUAUUUGCAGUUUGCAGCUUGCAGUUUUGUUGGUUGCAGUUUAGCCUUUAAGCUGGGCUCCAGCUCGCAGCGGUCUCCAGCAGUCAGCGAACUGAACUGAACUGCACCCACAUAACCAUAAACGUAAAAUGCCACUUUCCCUUCUUCCAUUUUGUAUGCCCCUGCGGUGGGCAUUACAAUUUGGUCAGGCAAUUUGUGACGCAUAGAAGAAGGCAUAUCCGAUUGGGUCUUAUCCGUCAGUACUGUUGGCCAUAUCGGAAGACUUUGUGAUUUAGCUGUCAUGAUUGUUCACCAAGUUCCUUACACAAAUCUUAUCAAUUUCGUACCAAAUAUAAGUAUGAUACGAGAAUACGAGUAUAGUUAGAAUUGGUAGAGAAUAUAUUUUUGUUUUUCCUGCAUUUGCAUUUUCAAGCCACAGGAGCACAAGGAUGGCUACACUUUAUACACUUUGUUGAGUCUGGUUCGUGGUCCGACACUAAAUGCCUGCCAGCUUGGCCAUCGUUGUUGCUGGACUGUUAAUAUUAUUUUAUAAUUUCUUUUAUUGCUGCUAUAUAUGGCCUCUGGAAUGGCAGUCAUAUUGUUUAAACACAGCCCCCACCCAAGUGCCAACUGUUUAACAAAUGCAGCCAUUGCCAUAAAUAUUGUAAGUGGCGGCUGUGGAGCGAUUUAACAAUGUUAAGUUCAUUUAUGCAGCUGUGAUGGACGGAGCACAUUUAAUGUAGAUGGGGUGUAGGGAGGCACAUUUAAGAAAUAAAAAUGUCCUAAUUAAAUUCA